CAGACGACGCUUCCGCUGCGGCCAUCUCGAGCGACAGAGAUCGUCAAGGAGAUAAAGAUCCGGAACCGAAGCCGGACAUGCUCGACGCAGGGGCGCAGCCGGUGAGUCUGUCAAGUGCACGCUUCCUGACUUGUGCUGAAGCGUAGAAUAAGUUAUCGGGAACACUAGGUUCUUGACAUUGGGAAUUGACGUUUGCUGCAAAAGGAGGGAGGCAUGUGGACAAAUACCAGCCAAAUUUGUGAUGCUGAGCUUGUCGUUUUUUGGGGCCCUAUGUCAACUUCAUGGUAUAAUUUCUAUCCCAUCAUACUUGAUGCAACAGCAGCCAUAUCUAUUUUUAAUUGUAUCCUUUAUGUGAGUUGAGAUGAACUUCGCAUGGUGGGUACCAUUUU